GUCAAUGCCCAUUUAUUAAUCUUAGUUCUUAUGAGUAUGUAUAACUAAAAUAUCAAUCGCUGAAUUAUUGUGACAUAAGUAUAGCAGUUUUCUUUUUGAUAUGUUUUCAGCCAACAUAACCUGAUCAAGAAUGAGAACAACUCUGUGCAAAGAUGGCAGUAUUUUGCCUUAGGACAAAUUCUUGCUGCAAAUUAUCCAAACAUGCUUUGGAAAAAGCACGGACAGACAGACAUGGCCGUACUAAAUCGCCACAGAGUGUGUUCAUGACAAGGCUCGCUGAGGCCAGGCGACAUCGUUCAAGUAGACAAGCAGCACGAGAGCGAGAGAUUGCAAGGAGACUACAAGUUGAGAUAUGUACUGUAGCAGAAACACUGGACACCACAACUGCAAUUAAGGAACUCGCUACAUUACCAGACUUCUGGACUGAACAAAGAAAGAGUGAAGCUUCUGCUUGUUUCCACUAUAGAGUGGCGCAAAGAAAACCCACCAGCUUGCCUCCCAUCUUAUUUACUGAAUGAAGAAAUUCUGACAUUCGAAGCGGAGCUUCGUUUCAAGGAAGGCAUUGACAGUUUGAUGAAGAAACUUGAAAAAGUCCGACUCAUUGUCAGUCAGAUGUACAACACGUGCACAGAUUUCGUCGAAACUGACAAGUAUUUCAGAGGAAAGAAUGCAAAAUUUUCACUCAUAACAGUGGAUGAGACGCCAGAAGUUGGCCCAUCGCCUGGCCCAAGAAUCUUAUGGGGGUGUGACAACAAGGCGCUGUACUGCGGUGAAGUGGAAGGCAACUUGAAGCUAUCAGGUGACACUCCUCUUGAAAAAGCCCUGAUUUUGUGCUUUACCACUUACUACAUAAAGGAUCUCACAUACCCAAGUGGAUAUGCUCAGACACUAGGUCUUGUUCAGAGCGUCAUGAAAAACACAGAACUGUUUCCAAGGUGCUUUGCUGGCAGCAAGUUGCUCAAGGUCAUUGAGAAGGUUAAACGCAUUCGAUAAGCAUCAAAAUACAUUAGUCCGAAAAAUAGCGGACGGAAAGUUUGUGUUGUUUCUCUCAGUCCUGGUUAUCACGUUUAACGCUGUUGUACAAUUUAGAAUAAACAUUUAUUUGUACACAUGAGGAGCAGCUGUUUCUCGCAUGCUUAUUCUUGCUGGGCACAGAAGGACCUGUUAACUAUGCAGCUGGUGUGAUCUAUCAAGUAAUUGUCAACCAACAUGAUUCCGAUGGGCAAUAGAGACUCCCGGUGCAACCAGGGUUCAG